rnacentral:tRNA from 1 species
GAUUAGGUGGCUGAAAAAUAAGGCGGUUGAUUGUAAGUCAAUUUAUGAGUAUCACUCUCUAUUCA